rnacentral:rRNA from 1 species
UACGGAGGAUGCGAGCGUUAUCCGGAUUUAUUGGGUUUAAAGGGUGCGUAGGCGGCUUUUUAAGUCGGCGGUGAAAUUUUGCAGCUUAACUGUAACAGUGCCGUUGAUACUGGGGAGCUAGGAUUUGGUUGCUGUGGGUGGAAUGUGUGGUGUAGCGGUGAAAUGCUUAGAGAUCACACAGAAUAUCGAUUGCGAAGGCAGCUCACAAAGCCAAGAUUGACGCUGAGGCACGAAAGUGUGGGGAUCAAACAGGAUUAGAUA